rnacentral:rRNA from 1 species
GAUGAACGCUGGCGGCGUGCCUAAUACAUGCAAGUCGAGCGAAUGGAUUAAGAGCUUGCUCUUAUGAAGUUAGCGGCGGACGGGUGAGUAACACGUGGGUAACCUGCCCAUAAGACUGGGAUAACUCCGGGAAACCGGGGCUAAUACCGGAUAACAUUUUGAACCGCAUGGUUCGAAAUUGAAAGGCGGCUUCGGCUGUCACUUACGGAUGGACCCGCGUCGCAUUAGCUAGGUGGUGAGGUAACGGCUCACCAAGGCAACGAUGCGUAGCAGACCUGGGAGGGUGAUCGGCCACACUGGGACUGGGACACGGCCCAGACUCCUACGGGAGGCAGCAGUAGGGAAUCUUCCGCAAUGGACGAAAGUCUGACGGAGCAACGCCGCGUGAGUGAUGAAGGCUUUCGGGUCGUAAAACUCUGUUGUUAGGGAAGAACAAGUGCUAGUUGAAUAAGCUGGCACCUUGACGGUACCUAACCAGAAAGCCACGGCUAACUACGUGCCAGCAGCCGCCGUAA